AUAAAAGGGAGAAAAAUAAGUUAAUCUCUUUUACUUUGUGACCUUUCUCUAUAGAAUAUCAACUUUUCGACUGAAGGAAAUGCAACUAAAUCAUGUACUUUUGAUCAAAGAGCCAAAUCUGCCAAUAAUAUCCUAUAAAAUAUAUUUCUUUUAAGUGCUUUUCUGCUUUAGUUAACCUAAACUCAAACAGUGAGUCAUGCUUUUAUCUAAAAAUUCUAUUCAUUAGAAGAGAUGCCCAUCCAUUGAAGCAAAAAAGAAAGUCUCCUUUAUAGACAGACAAUAUAAUAAAAUUCAUCCACACUUUACCUUUAUAAUCAGAAUUAUUCAAGAUUUGACUAAAUGUUAGAUUGCUGUUCACAAAAAAAAAACAUUUUGUAUCUGUGAACCUGAACAAAGCAGCAGAAGUGCAGCUCGUGUGAACACAAAAGUCCACGUAACCAUAGAAACUCAGAGUGCUGGCAGAGGAGACAUCCACAGCGGAGAAGGUUAUGAGCUUUUGUUUGCACAGAAUAUUAGGAAUUAAUGAUUAAUGGACUCCUACUUGGAUCCUGACUACUCGAGUUUCUCCUAACUGUACUGAUAAACCUGCUGCAAUUGAAACCAGCUCGUUCUGUGACACUUGGGUUGCCCGGGCCUGUGGAGGGUCGCAGAGAGGUGCAGCUGCAUCUUUAAAAAACUUCUUUAAGCUUUCUCUCAGACAUCACACAGCUGCCAAGAUAGUGUAAAGGACUCAAGGAUGAAAGACAGCACCAGCUAUCAGCAGUCACUGAAGCCGUGGUUCACCAGAUAAAGUGACAUCACCUGCAGCAACUUUUCCUGUCUCCGUGUCUGCAGUGAGGCCAAUCAGACGUCCACAUAAGAGGAAUGAGCCUCUUCUGUGCCAGCUACCAGGCAGAGAGCCCUCUCUGGAGGGCAAAGUCACAGGAUCGCACUGAAAAAAACACAUCCACGGAUGUCUGAAGGCUUCUUACAAAACUUUAAUAUAUUUCUUAGAUGUAUUCCUUAAGCUACUGAUGUUUUU